GACGAACGCUGGCGGCGUGCCUAAUACAUGCAAGUUGAGCGAUGAAGAUUGGUGCUUGCACCAAUUUGAAGAGCAGCGAACGGGUGAGUAACGCGUGGGGAAUCUGCCUUUGAGCGGGGGACAACAUUUGGAAACGAAUGCUAAUACCGCAUAACAACUUUAAACAUAAGUUUUAAGUUUGAAAGAUGCAAUUGCAUCACUCAAAGAUGAUCCCGCGUUGUAUUAGCUAGUUGGUGAGGUAAAGGCUCACCAAGGCGAUGAUACAUAGCCGACCUGAGAGGGUGAUCGGCCACAUUGGGACUGAGACACGGCCCAAACUCCUACGGGAGGCAGCAGUAGGGAAUCUUCGGCAAUGGACGAAAGUCUGACCGAGCAACGCCGCGUGAGUGAAGAAGGUUUUCGGAUCGGAAAACUCUGUUGGUAGAGAAGAACGUUGGUGAGAGUGGAAAGCUCAUCAAGUGACGGUAACUACACAGAAAGGGACGGCUAACUACGUG
rnacentral:rRNA from 1 species